ACGGAAGGCAGCAGUGGGGAAUAUUGGACAAUGGGGGAAACCCUGAUCCAGCGACGCCGCGUGAGUGAAGAAGUAUUUCGGUAUGUAAAGCUCUAUCAGCAGGGAAGAUAAUGACGGUACCUGACUAAGAAGCCCCGGCUAACUACGUGCCAGCAGCCGCGGUAAUACGUAGGGGGCAAGCGUUAUCCGGAUUUACUGGGUGUAAAGGGAGUGUAGGUGGUCUGGCAAGUCAGAUGUGAAAGCCCGCGGCUCAACCGCGGGACUGCAUUUGAAACUGUCAGACUGGAGUGCAGGAGAGGAAAGUGGAAUUCCUAGUGUAGCGGUGAAAUGCGUAGAUAUUAGGAGGAACACCAGUGGCGAAGGCGGCUUACUGGACUGUAACUGACGUUGAGGCUCGAAAGCGUGGGGAGCAAACAGGAUUAGAUACCCUGGUA
rnacentral:rRNA from 1 species